AUACAUCCACUUACUCCUAAGGAAAAUUGACAAUUGUACCCUUUGUUUAUAUUUAGAAUGUAAUUAUUGUCUAUAUUUAAUAUAAUAUAUAUUUUUUAAUUCCUUUGUUAUAAAUAAAAGAAUAAAUUAACCCAACUCCUUUUAUCUCCACCAGUUACCUUUCGUCUACACCACGUCGGAGAAUUUCAACCUACAUUCACAGUGAUCUCUAAUUCGAUUUUACCGCAAUCUUAAGCCUAUAACUCCCUUCUUCAUCUGCUAAGUUACUGGUCUUCCCUUUGAACCAAAAUCUCCUACAGAGUCCCAUCUUUCUUGAUUCUUUCAUUCCUUCUGUUACUGGUCAUUGCUUUCCUCGUCUCCUGUCAUCAUCAAGAAACUCUCCCAUCUUUUCCCAAUACAAAUAAACAUAAGCAUCACCGGACCUUCCAGAGAAAUACCCACCUCUGAUUGAUUCCAUUUGGGGACGAAGCUCACCCAAAAAGGCCCUCCCACCACCACCCCUCUGUCAUCCUCAAGAAACCCGAAAACAGAAGCCUUACUCAUCACCAACGAUGAAACCUCGAAGAAUUGUUAAGCCAUUAAACUCUCCCGUAAAUUGAAUUUUGAAACCUUAAAAUCCCAUGGACCAGCAAAUCCGAUUUUGAAAGGUGGUUUUGAUUUUGGUACUUACAGGUGGUUUCUUGAAGUUGAAAUUGUUGAUUUAGUUGGUGGUUUUGGAAUGGUUUUGUAGGUGAUUUUGGUAAUUAUAGGUGGUUUUCUUCAAAUGGUUUUCGAUUUUGCAGGUGGUGGUAGAAGAAGCUGUUUCCGACGAAGAUGUGGUUUGAAGGUGGGUGUCGACGGAAAGUGAGGGUGGGCGUUGACGGAAGGGGAGAAAAAAAAGGGGUUGGAUUAAAAAAGAUAUGUUAUAUUAAUAGAGAUAUAUUACACUCGAAACAUAAAUGGGCAUAAUUGUCAUUUCCCUUUGGAAGUCUGUGGAUGUAUAAGAAACAUCAGUGGAAAUAUCAGCACCCAAUGCAAUAUAGGGAUUUUAUUUUCAUUUCUAUCAGCAUCUUUAUCUUUAGGAAAGAUAAGAUGUAAACUCGAUUCUAACAUGAACUCUAAAUAAGGAGGCAAUUCAAAUUUCAAAAUCCUCUGAAUUCGAAUCUCAUUUGAAGAAUCUCCUUUUUCCUUUAAACGUGCUCUCCCAUAUCAGAUCAUUUCACAAUUCACUGCCAUUACCACCACCACUAAGCGUGCCGACACCAAAUCAGCAACACCCACUCUAGCUCCACCCCUGCCACUCCGUCCAGUGAACCUUGGUGCAACUUCGUCCUCCGCAACCCCACCCUUUAUCAAAAAUCGAUACUAUGGAAGACAAAUGAUGUGUGGUCUUUUGAUUUCAUCGUGAAUGCAAAAAAGAUAAAUCUGGAAUUUCCCCCGAACCCCCCUUCUCUCUCUCUCUCUCUCUCUCUCUCUCUCUCUCGAUUUCAUCUGGAUUCAAUAUAAAGGCUCUUAUUAUUGAGCAUAAAUUAGGGAUUUUUGUUUUCUACUUGAGAUUUAUGGAAAAUGGGGCGGUAUUUGAUAAAUUCAUACUGAUUUCUUCUACAAAACACCAAUAUCUCAAAAGGUAAUGUAAAAAUUAAGGUAAUUGAUGCUCUGUUUUUUUGGUUUCAGGAUUUCAUUUCUUUUAUGUGCUCUCUUCCUGUGUGAUUCAUCUGGUUUAUAUAUCUGAAAAAGCAAAUCUAGGUUUUUUUGAUAGAGCUUGGAUUACCCUGUUUGCCAGAGAUGGAAGAUAAAGACAAAGGGUGUAUAUCGAUUUUUUCCCAGUGCUUAAUACAUAACUUUGUGCUUUUUUUUCCAUUUCUUUUUAAUGAUUCUUUAAUAAGGUGUAGCUUACAUUGAAUUGUCAUUUGAAAUAACCAAGCAAGAGCUACCUAAACCAUUUAAUUCUUAUUAACAUUCAUGAUA